rnacentral:lncRNA from 1 species
GAUAUAGAUAUUUGCUGAACAUGGAGACAAAAGUUCAAAUAGUACUUAAAGUUUUGAGAAUAUUUCUGCGCUUUAUCCAGCCCCUCCAUCAUAAUCCUACUCUCCAGAAGCAACCACUUUUAACUAUUUAAGUUUUUACCUGGUAGUGUAUAACCUUUUAUUAUUAUUCAACAAUUAAAAAAACCAUUAUAGUUAUAUAAGUACAAAACUUACAGAGACAAAUUGUUCAACAAAGUGUGUUACAAACAACAGAAUCCCCCUUCUCAUUUUGCUCUCCUCCGAGGCAACAGCUUUCAGUUCUUUUGGCUGAUUCUUCUGGUAGUUACCCCCAUAUUACUGAUAUACGUAUAUUUGCUUCUCGAUCUUUCAGCACCUAUUGUCCUCCGUCUUCAGAAGAUGUGGGUCCAGCCCUCUUUCAUCUCACCUCUACUUUAUCCAACCACACCGCCUCGCACCCUCUGUCCUGCCAAUGGAGCUGUCACCACUUUCUCUCCUACCAGCCUGGGACUCAGGGGACCCAGAAAAGAUAAACAAAGAAACUUUUCUAUUUACUGAGAGGAUGGAGUAAAAAGAAUAAUUUUAAUAUCAGAUCAUGCAGAAGCAGAAGGGAGAAUCAAGCACAGUGACCACGUACACCCAGGGAAGGGAACCGAAUUUCUGAGGUCUCCACAGGCAAGCUUCCAGGAAAGCAGCCCAGGAGGGUGUUUAUUUUUUUUAAGGAUCUCUGGAAUUUUGUUCAAGUAAAAAUACUGAUGAAAAAAAAAUAGCUAUCACCUGGGCUUUGGAAAUCAGAUAAUUCCCUUUUAGAGAUAUUCCAAUUAAUUCUAUGGAAGUGUGAUGAGAAAAACAUUUAAAGCUUUUCUUCGUGUGCGUGUUAAUCUUAAAUGAAGAGUAUUUAGGAGAAUCCUGCAAUAUACCCUUCAAUUAAGCCAGAUCAGUGGGUGGAAAUGUUCCAGCAGAGAUAACAUAAAAA